rnacentral:rRNA from 1 species
UAGGGAAUCUUCCGCAAUGGGCGAAAGCCUGACGGAGCAACGCCGCGUGAGUGAUGAAGGUCUUCGGAUCGUAAAACUCUGUUAUUAGGGAAGAACAAAUGUGUAAGUAACUAUGCACGUCUUGACGGUACCUAAUCAGAAAGCCACGGCUAACUACGUGCCAGCAGCCGCGGUAAUACGUAGGUGGCAAGCGUUAUCCGGAAUUAUUGGGCGUAAAGCGCGAGUAGGCGGUCAAUUAAGUCUGAUGUGAAAGCCCCCGGCUCAACCGGGGAGGGUCAUUGGAAACUGGUUGACUUGAGUGCAGAAGAGGAGAGUGGAAUUCCAUGUGUAGCGGUGAAAUGCGUAGAUAUAUGGAGGAACACCAGUGGCGAAGGCGACUCUCUGGUCUGUAACUGACGCUGAGGCUCGAAAGCGUGGGUAGCAAACAGG